GUCUCUGUGGCUCAGUCGGUAGAGCGUUGGUCUCAUAUUAUCACAUCAUAUGACUCGGGCAUUAGCCAGGGAUAUCCAAAGGUCGCAAGUUCGAGCCUUGCCAGGGACA
rnacentral:tRNA from 1 species